UGGGGAAUUUUGGACAAUGGGCGAAAGCCUGAUCCAGCCAUGCCGCGUGAGUGAAGAAGGCCUUCGGGUUGUAAAGCUCUUUUAGUCGGAAAGAAAGAGUUGCAAUGAAUAAUUGUGAUUUAUGACGGUACCGACAGAAAAAGCACCGGCUAACUACGUGCCAGCAGCCGCGGUAAUACGUAGGGUGCGAGCGUUAAUCGGAAUUACUGGGCGUAAAGGGUGCGCAGGCGGUCUUGCAAGUCAGAUGUGAAAGCCCCGGGCUUAACCUGGGAAUUGCGUUUGAAACUACAAGGCUAGAGUGCAGCAGAGGGGAGUGGAAUUCCAUGUGUAGCAGUGAAAUGCGUAGAGAUGUGGAAGAACACCGAUGGCGAAGGCAGCUCCCUGGGUUGACGCUCAGGGACGAAAGCGUGGGGAUCAAACA
rnacentral:rRNA from 1 species